UGGGGAAUUUUGGACAAUGGGGGAAACCCUGAUCCAGCCAUCCCGCGUGUGCGAUGAAGGCCUUCGGGUUGUAAAGCACUUUUGGCAGGAAAGAAACGUCAUGGGUUAAUACCCCGUGAAACUGACGGUACCUGCAGAAUAAGCACCGGCUAACUACGUGCCAGCAGCCGCGGUAAUACGUAGGGUGCAAGCGUUAAUCGGAAUUACUGGGCGUAAAGCGUGCGCAGGCGGUUCGGAAAGAAAGUUGUGAAAUCCCAGAGCUCAACUUUGGAACUGCAUUUUUAACUACCGGGCUAGAGUGUGUCAGGGGGAGGUGGAAUUCCGCGUGUAGCAGUGAGAUGCGUAGAUAUGCGGAGGAACACCGAUGGCGAAGGCAGCCUCCUGGGAUAACACUGACGCUCAUGCACGAAAGCGUGGGGAGCAAACAGG
rnacentral:rRNA from 1 species